UACGGGGGGGGCAAGCGUUGUUCGGAAUUACUGGGCGUAAAGGGCUCGUAGGUGGCCAACUAAGUCAGACGUGAAAUCCCUCGGCUUAACCGGGGAACUGCGUCUGAUACUGGAUGGCUUGAGGUUGGGAGAGGGAUGCGGAAUUCCAGGUGUAGCGGUGAAAUGCGUAGAUAUCUGGAGGAACACCGGUGGCGAAGGCGCUCUGCUGGACCAUAACUGACACUCAGGGACGAAAGCUAGGGGAGCGAAUGGG
rnacentral:rRNA from 1 species